UACGUAGGUGGCAAGCGUUAUCCGGAUUUAUUGGGCGUAAAGAGAACGCAGGCGGUCUUUUAAGUCUGAUGUGAAAGCCUUCGGCUUAACCGGAGUAGUGCAUUGGAAACUACCGGGCUGGAGUGCCGGAGAGGUAGGCGGAAUUCCUGGUGUAGCGGUGAAAUGCGUAGAUAUCAGGAGGAACACCAGUGGCGAAGGCGGCCUACUGGACGGUGACUGACGCUGAGGCUCGAAAGCGUGGGGAGCAAACAGG
rnacentral:rRNA from 1 species